UGGUGCAGACUUGGACUGUCUCAGACAUCUGCAACAGCUCGUUAUCAAAGCUUGAAGAUCAGCUUCAGAUCAGAAACCAUGAGGGCAUCUUCUUUGUGUCUGUUGUUCGGGCUGGUCCUGAUGAUGACCUGGACUUCUGAGGCUCAGCCUUAUGGUCCUGCAGUCCCUCAGAAUUGCUGCUUCAAUUUUAUCGACUUUCAAAUUCCAAUCACAAAAAUUGUGAAUGCUGUGAAGACAAAUUCACAUUGCCCUGUCCCUGGCAUUGUGGUUACGACACCUAGAACCACAUUUUGUGUGAAACCAGACGAGGCUUGGAUAAAAAAAUAUAUGGAGAAGCAUUCAUCUUAAGAAAUAAAAACACAUUAUAUUAUGCACAAAAUAAUACUGUUACUGCUUUUUUUAACAACUGUCCUUUCUUAAGAAAUGAAUUUUUGGAUUUCCUGAAACUGAAUUAAACUCUUUUCAUUGGUAACACUUUACAAUAAAGUUCAUUAGUUAACAUUAGUUAACUACUUUAGUUAACAUGAACUAAGAAUGAACAAUACCUCUACAGCAUUUAUUAGUCUUAAAUUAAUGUUAAUUUCAACAUUUAUGGAACCUUUUUGUAAAGUGAUACCUUUUCAUUUAGCACUUAAUCUUUGCAAAUAAAUAUUAAAAUGCAAUGAGA